rnacentral:rRNA from 1 species
GUCUACGGCCAUACCACCCUGAACGCGCCGGAUCUCGUCUGAUCUCGGAAGCUAAGCAGGGUCGGGCCUGGUUAGUACUUGGAUGGGAGAUAAUUCUAAGAAUAGGUAACCUUUAUCC